GAGUUUGAUCGUGGCUCAGAGCGAACGCUGGCGGCAGGCCUAACACAUGCAAGUCGAACGAUCCUUCGGGAUAGUGGCGGACGGGUGAGUAACACGUGGGAACGUGCCCUUUGGUUCGGAACAACUCAGGGAAACUUGAGCUAAUACCGAAUGUGCCCUUCGGGGAAGAUUAUCGCCAUUGGAGCGGCCCGCGUCUGAUUAGCUAGUUGGUGAGGUAAAGGCUCACCAAGGCGACGAUCAGUAGCUGGUCUGAGAGGAUGAUCAGCCACAUUGGGACUGAGACACGGCCCAAACUCCUACGGGAGGCAGCAGUGGGGAAUCUUGCGCAAUGGGCGAAAGCCUGACGCAGCCAUGCCGCGUGAAUGAUGAAGGUCUUAGGAUUGUAAAAUUCUUUCACCGGGGACGAUAAUGACGGUACCCGGAGGAGAAGCCCCGGCUAACUUCGUGCCAGCAGCCGCCGU
rnacentral:rRNA from 1 species